rnacentral:tRNA from 1 species
GGGGCUGUAGCUCAGUGGCAGAGCACUUGCCUUGCAUGCGUGAGGCACUGGGUUUGAUCCUUAGCACCA